CAUGCUCUAGCCAAUGCAACCAAAAGACCGAUCUAAUAAAAGAGACUAGGCAGCACAUUAUACGUCAACAGUGGUGUGCUGAUGCUCAUGCUGCAGCUAGCAGCCUGCCACCAUUUACGCCACUCCACUCAUCUCUUGAAAAUUCAAUUCAGAUAGGUACUACAUAUGGCACUCACUGAUCUACGUACAACAUGCAAACAUGGCCUGCCGGGUUGCAUAUGCUGCAGGCGACUUCGAUGGGGAGAUACAUAGAUAGAUACUCUGUUUCUUGGAGGCGCCAUAGUUAUGGCUGCCAUGGAUGGAGCAUGGAUGGGCAAUGCGUGGAUAGCCUCGAUCUCUGCUGAUCUUGUUGACAAUAUCACUCCAUCCGCCAUGGAUGGACGGCGAUUGAAUGCACACCGCUACGCCAUGCCAUGCAUUUGAUUAGCGAGAAGCUUCACUUCACCACAAGCAACGUGCUACGAACGAAUGGAUGCUGAUGCAGAUGCUGCCUGGCCUUUCCUUUAUUGACGGCGUGAAGAUGGCCCUCAUGAAUGUCUCUGUCCUUCCUAGCUAGAUCUUGGAACCAGGCACUUAAAUGGCUGCAUAAAUCAGAUCCAUCCACCAGUUUAAUCCACUUCCAUUCAACCAGUACGUACAAGUUUCAACUCGAUCAAGUAGUAGUA
rnacentral:lncRNA from 1 species